UGCUGGCGGUGGCUGACUGGUCGCAGCGUUUCGGUUUUGGCGAGAUUCGGAUCGCCCAUGAGCAGAACAUCGUCCUGCCCGAUGUGCCGAAAACC
rnacentral:tRNA from 1 species